GACGAACGCUGGCGGCGUGCCUAAUACAUGCAAGUAGGACGCAGUUGCGAACGGGUGAGUAACGCGUAGGUAACUGCCUAUUAGAGGGGGAUAACUAUUGGAAACGAUAGCUAAUACCGCAUACUAGUAGAUGGACCUGCGUUGUAUUAGCUAGUAGGUAGGGUAAUGGCCUACCUAGGCAACGAUACAUAGCCGAGUGUGGGGGGUGGUCGGCCACACUGGGACUGGGACACGGCCCAGACUCCUACGGGAGGCAGCAGUAGGGAAUCUUCGGAAAUGGGGGGAACCCUGAACGAGCAACGGCGCGUGAGUGAAGAAGGUUUUCGGAUCGUAAAGCUCUGUUGUUAAGGAAGCGGUACUUAAACAGAAAGGGACGGCUAACUACGUGCCAGCAGCCGCGGUAAUAC
rnacentral:rRNA from 1 species